UACAGAGGGUGCAAGCGUUAAUCGGAGUGACUGGGCGUAAAGGGCGCGUAGGCGGUCUGUCAAGUGAGAUGUGAAAUCCCCGGGCUUAACCUGGGAAUGGCAUUUUAGACUGACGGACUGGAGUACUGUAGAGGACAGUGGAAUUUCCGGUGUAGCGGUGAAAUGCGUAGAGAUGUGGAGGAACACCGAUGGCGAAGGCAGCCCCCUGGGCUGAGAUUGACGCUCAGGCACGAAAGCGUGGGGAGCAAACAGG
rnacentral:rRNA from 1 species